rnacentral:rRNA from 1 species
GCAGAACGCGAAGAACCUUACCCACCUUUGACAUCCCGUGCUACCUAGAGAGAUCUAGGGUCCCUUCGGGGCGCGGAGACAGGUGCUGCAUGGCUGUCGUCAGCUCGUGUCGUGAGAUGUUGGGUUAAGUCCCGCAACGAGCGCAACCCUCGCUUCUAGUUGCCAGCAUUAAGUUGGGCACUCUAACAAGACUGCCGACCUUUAAGUCGGAGGAAGGUGGGGAUGACGUCAAGUCCUCAUGGCCCUUACGUCCAGGGCUACACACGUGCUACAAUGACCGGUACAAAGGGUUGCCAAACCGCGAGGUGGAGCCAAUCCCAAAAAGCCGGCCUCAGUACGGAUAAGAGUCUGCAACUCGACUCUUUGAAGGCGGAAUCGCUAGUAAUCCCUGAUCAGCAUAGCAGGGGGUG